rnacentral:rRNA from 1 species
UAAUAAAAGUAAACGUAGGUAAGAGCUUUAGCGUAUUAUUAACUAAUCCUAAUGUUUUUAGAUAGAUUUAAGUAAGAGUAUAUAGGGUUAGACCUAAAAGAAGGUAAACUAUAUAUAUAUAGGGUAAAGCUAAAGGAAACUCUAGUAAAGGCUUACAGUAGUUCUAACAUGUAAAUUAAUUAUUAAAUAUACGUAUAGAGGCAAAAGACUAAUUAAACCUUCUAGUAGCUAGUUUCUGCUAAAGUUUCCCUUAGGAUAGUAGUGUUAAACUUAGUUUUAUAAGGUAAAGUAAAUAAUUAGGGACUUAGGGGCGCUAUAUAGCCUUUAUUUAUUCUUAAACUUUAAAUAUAUAAGAAGCCCUUAUUACUUAAUUAAACGUAGGUAUUUAAAUGUAUUAACACUAGUAGGCUAUUUUUAGUAAGUAGAACUAGUAAUACAAGAUAAACUAAACAUAAGGUUAAGGUGCUAGAGUAGUUACUUAUUAGACACUAUAAAAGGUGUUAGUAUAUCUUAAUAGCAGGAUAGUAGCUAUAGAAGUUAGAAUCUGCUAAGGACUAUAUAAUAACUUACCUACUAAAUAUACUAGCCUUAAAAAUAGAUAGCGCUUAAGCGACUUACCUAUACUUUACCCUUAGUGUAGAAACAAUACGCUAAGGAGUAGGCAGACGUAGAGGUUAGUAACAAAGCCUAGGGCGUAAGCCUAAGUAGAACGGCCUCUAGUGUAGAUCUUAGUAGUAGUAGUAAAUACUUUAAUAAGAACUUAAAGGACUAAAGUAGGGAAAGGUUCUAUAUAAACAGCGGUUAGAUAUAGGUUAGUUAAUCCUAAGCUAUAGAGAAGUUCUAUUUUAAAGGGGCACUUAUGCCCUAUAUAGCAAAAAGGAAGCCAGUUAAUAUUCUAGCACCUAGAUAUAGGUUUUACGCAGCAACGUAACUAAACGUAAAGACAACAGUAGGGGCCCUAGGUAGAGUUCUCUUUUCUUCUUAACAGUCUAUUACCCUAAAAUUAGUUUAUCUAGAGCUAGGGUUUAACAGCUAGAAGAGCCUAGCACUUCUAUUAGGUCUAGUGCGCUCUUAACGUCUCUUAAAAAUCUAUAGAAAGGAAUAAUUCUUACGCUAGGUUAUACUUAUAACUAUAGUAGGUCUCUAAGGUAAACAGCCUUUAGUUAAUAGAAUAAUAUAGAUAAGGGAAGUUAGUAAAACAGAUCUAUAACUUUAGGAUAAGGAUUAGCUCUAAGGGUUAGGUACGUUAGGCUUUAGGCAGACAGCCUAGGAGCAGGUCGCCACUAGCUAGGCAACUAGCUAGAGGCUUCUAGUAUCUAGGUUCUAACGCCUUUAGCAGGCUUUAGCUGUCUAGUGUACAAUUAAUAACUAACUUAGAACUAGUAUAAAUAAGGGGAAUCUAACUAUCUAAUUAAAAUAUAGUAUUAUAAUAGCUAGAAAGUAGUGUUAACGUAAUAUAAUUUCUACUUAGUGCUCUAAAUAUUAAAGUAAAGUAAUUUAACUAAGCGCAGGUAAAUAGUAAGAGUAACUAUAACUCUCUUAAGGUAGCUAAAUACCUUAUUAUCUAAUUAGUAACGCGUAUAAAUAGAUUAACAAGAUUCCUACUGUCCUUAUCUACUAUCUAGUAAAACUAUAGCUAAGGGAACAGGCUUAGCAGAAUUAGCAGGGAAAAAAGACCCUAUUAAGCUUAACUUUAGUUUAAUAUUAUAAAAAGACAUAGGAGGUAUAGAAUAGGUAGGAGCUUUAGCGCUAGUAAAAUACCACUACUCCUAUUAUUUUUUUACUUAUUUAAUAAAGCAGGGCUAGAUUUACGUCUAACUUCUAGUUUUAAGGUCCUUUAUAGGCUAACCUAGGUUAAAGACAUUAUUAGGUAGGGAGUUUAGCUAGAGUAGUAUAUCUAUUAAACUAUAACGUAGGUGUCCUAAGGGGGGCUUAUAAAGAAUAGAAAUCUUUAGUAAAAUAAAAAAGUAAAAGUCCUCUUAAUUUUAAUUUUUAGUGUAAAUAUAAACUAUAAAAGUGUAGCCUAUUAAUCCUUUAGUCCCUUAAAAUUUAAGGCUAGAGGUGCUAGAAAAGUUACUAUAGGGAUAACUAGCUUGUAGCGGCUAAGCGUUUAUAGUAAUAUCGCUUUUUAAUCCUUUAAUAUUAGCUCUUCUUAUUAUACUAAAGUAGAAUUUAGUAAGCGUUAGAUUGUUUACCUACUAAUAGGGAACGUAAGCUAGGUUUAGACUGUUAUAAGACAGGUUAGUUUUACCUUACUAAUAACCUUAUUAUAAUAGUAAUUAAGCUUAGUAUAAGAGGAACUACUUAUUUAGAUAAUUAGUUUUUAUAGCUAUCUAACUAGGUAGUGCUAUAACGCUACUAUCUGCUAGAUAAUAGCUAAACGCCUCUAAGUUAGAAUCUAUACUAGAACGUAAUAAUACCUUCUAUACGUAUAGAUAGACAUAAAUAGGCUUUAGCUUAGUGUCUUAGCAGGUAAUUCCUUUACUGCUUUU